AAGUGAACACUUUGCUUAGAAAGCCAUUAUCGCCUUGAAAGCGAUAAGUGACACAUUUGCAGGCUGUAAAUAGAUUUGGAAGUGCAAGAUUUUAAAAAUGUGUAAAAAACAGCAUAAAUCAGCAUAAAAGAUUUAAAGCUAAAACUCAAGGUGUCUUAUUGUGUCCGGCAAUUAAAAAAGGGCCCAAGCCAGAACCAUACAAUUAUGGAAUAAUCUGAUUUGAUGUAUUUCAUCAAAAAUAAAACAAUGCUGUCAUCACUAGUUGGCCAGAUAAUAACGGAAUGUAUGAUAUCUUCAUCUGUAACCCUUAAUGCUGCAUGUGUAAUAUGACCUCAGUUUAUUCUUUAUGGAUCAUAUAAGCAGCCUGGACAGCCUAUCAAAAUCACGAGGCACAGAUGAAAAUAAAUGAUGUGUAUUUAUUGACUUGUCCCAGGGAAGUUAGUUAGUUUAGCGGCUGUGAAUAUUUGAUAUCGCUGGUUUUUACUCAUUUGUUUUUGCCUGUUUGAGUUGGAAACGUUUCACUUAACGAGAUGCAGGUCGCCGCCCACACAAACCGUUAAUAUUGGUCCUGUUGGCGUGAAGGGUCGGACAGGCCUGUAUUUUGCCUUCUGGCCUCCAAAUUGCGACAAGUGAUCCUCCACAGGCCUUGGUGAACAAAAUAAGCACCGCAUUAAUUAACACAACAUCUAUUGCUCAACAGGCAGAGCCAAACUUUGGUAAACUAUUUUUAAUUCGUACGUGAUUAAUUAAAUGACAUGACACUAGUUAAUAACUCAUUAAUUUUUGUAAUGUAUUUUCUCCUCUCAUUAAUUGUUGUACAAACACAUGUUCUCAGGGGCUGGUAGGCGGUCAUGUGACUCAGACCACAAUAUAUCACCCAUAGACUCAGUGCAAUUAACCUCAUGUUAAUUAUAACACACCUCUCAAUGGAGAGGACCAGAGCUAAUAAGGCACAGCAGAGGAUGAAUCACGCUGGCUUUAUAAUCGGACAGACUGGAAAGAACAAUGAAUAACUUAGCAAAAUAUAUCUUAAGCAUUAACAUUGAUAGAGUCUGCAUUACUGUAGAAGGAUUUUUACUCACCCAGACGUAUUCGCAGUAGGUUUUUGGACAGAGUCUCCGAACUACUCCAGUUAAAACGAAUUAAGAAAUAUUACUCGCCUCUCUAACCAAAAAGUAGCCAGUGUGUAUUUAAGCUGGUAAAAAUGUGGUCGUCUCUGUCAUGGUCUGUAAUAUGUCCAAUGUCAUUACCGCAGGUCAAACCAGUCCUAUUUAAACCAACAUCACUGACGCUCCAUUAGUGCAGGAGUCAGUGACUAUAAUCGUGUCCACAGUGACCUGACCAGAUUUUUCUGCUUUGGUAACGAAGCCUGAAGCCUCUGAGGACUCAAGUCUGGGUCAAUAUUUUGUGCAUUUAAGCUGCUUUUUCAAUGCACGUUAAAGAAAAAAGAAAAACUGCUGGCCAGAAGAGCAAACAUCUUUUUAUAGUCCUGUUUUGUCCAAAUUUAAGAUCAACUUCAAUCUUGGGAGCUUCAAUGCAGCAACUUUAAUCCCCCCCCCCCUCCGAUUUGUGGCUCAAUAUAUUCCCAUUUCUAUGUUUCUUCUUCCUGUUGGUUUGGUUUCUGCUCUGAUGUGCAUUCAGCUUUCGCUUUUCCAAAUCAUCUCCAGCCAAUUGAACACUUAACAGGUGGAUUCCAAACAAGGUGUAAGAAGAACAUUAAAGGGAUAAAUAUGCUCCCAACACUCCCUAAUACACUAAUAUUUCUUGCACCAAUUUGCCUUAAAGGCAGAGAGUAAAGAGAUACACUUCAAUACCCUGAUGCAAGGUGCACAUCAGAUUAACCGCCACUCAGAUUGUUUCUAUCAUUUGAUAAGUGAGAUUCUAGGUGCAGAAUCCAUCUGCUACGGCGUGAGGUGGGGUUAGAGAAUCUGGUCCUCUCUGUUCUUCCCUUAACCUAGAAUUGUUAACCUUCUGUCUCUCUAUAUCAAUCCACUUCAUGAUCUGCUUCUCCCCCCAUAUGAGAAAUUCUUCGGCUCUAGUCUCUGUCACACCACCUCAUCACGCUAUUUUUUUUCUCUCGCAGUGAAGCAGAAGCCAGCGCUGCAGAUGAACGGCAGGGAGGGCUCCCAGGAGGUCGGAUCACCAUCACGUCUCACACACACACACACACACACAGACUCCACUGUGGACCCUGAACUACACACGCCGGCAUAUCCAGUCAUUAUGUGGAGAGAAACCGUUCCGAGCCUCUCGAUAAUAAACUCUGAUAAACAGGUCGCGUGUGUUCCAUGUCAACACACACGGCUGGAUUGGAUUGUGCUAAAAUUAGAUGUAACCACAAAUUCCAGCUUCAUCUGUGAUUGUCAAUCAGACGAUUAGUGAUGCUGAAUGAAUAAAAGACGCUUGUCACUUUGGGAGAUAUGCUUGAUUGUUUUCCUGCCUUGUGAAUUGUAGCCGUCUUCCAUCCUGAACUCGUGAAAUGAGCCCGAGCUCAGACGGACACGGGGCGUUCAGCGUGCCGGUGAACCACACUGGUUUUAGGGUCCAAAAGUGAUAUUAAUUAAUCCGGCGGAACUGGUUUGGGAUUAAAUCUCGGUUCAUCUGGGGGUCCAAUUAAAAGGAUGACUGCAGUAAUCUGUCAGCAACAUAAAAUCCUCAAUUCUGAUUAACAAUCUUGAUCCUGGUGCAGCUGAUUAUUUUGGAGAUGGUGAGGUGUGAUGCUGUAUACAUACUGAACAGAACGAGGCCCUUUCUUAAAUACAAAUAACACCACAAAUUGUUUACAAAAUACACACAAUUUCCAAGGAAGUCAAUGUAAGUUACACUAUUUCUUUCCACCAGCAGUAAAUCAGGCAAAGAUAAGAAAUGUCACAUGAAUUAUAUCCACGUGUCCGGGAGAUAAACGGCCAACUGGGCAUUAGUUUAUAUUCCUUUGGUGUGACUCACAUUCUUUCUCUUUUCAACAGCACUUUUAUCAUGCUUUACAAAAAGAGUAUUUGGGAUUUUAAACAGUCUUACAAAGUCUUUGGUCUUUGUUGGCAUUUUCAUUCAUUUCAUUUUAGGAAAUCUCGGGCAGGCUUGGAUAUUGCUUAAGAGGGUGUUUAGGUAGAAACUUUUAUUUUGACGAUCUAUACCAAAGAAUACUACUAAAAUAUUUAUGUGAAAGACUUAAGAUGAAAUUAACACACAGCACACAGUGAAAUCAUCAUCCUUUUUUACUGUCUUAUUAACUUAUUAACGAUUGUUACCUUCUUGCAAAAGCAAUCAAUAAAUGAAAUGUGGCCUGUACAAAUGCUGAAGCUCACAAAUGUUGCACAGAAGAGGUAAAAAGGUCUAACCGAUUAAUAUGAAUGCGUGUAAAUGUAGACCAAUCUUACAAAACUUGUGAAUGAAUUCUAAUAGACCAGAUAACUGGGAUGUUAUUAGAACUGCAGUAAUGUUUUGGGCCCCUCAUGCCUAUUAAGAAUAAAACAUUCAUACUCUUGGAAGCAUUUUCCUCUUCAUGCAUAAAUCAAGUUUACUUAAAACUUUAAAUGACACCCUCCACUGUAUCCUUAUCAAGUGCCUGCUCAUUUACACCAAGUGUUCACACAUCCUACUCGACUUAAGACAUUAAUGUAACAGUGGCCACUUGACAGGCUCAACUGAUUACAGUUCAGCAUCACCGUCACAACCGCUCGGGUUCUGUGGGACUCUUUCACAGUUCCUAGCUGAUUAUUCUACUGCCACCAAUCUACUCUCAACUCUCCCCCGUGAAGCUGAAGGUGCUAGAUCCAAGAUUGGUACCCGUGAAGCCGAUGGUGCUGGAUCCAAGAUUGGCAGCGUUCCAGUUACCGCUCAACAUGGCCGGCGUCUCGCGGCCAACAGAGCCAUCAAUGCAGAGCGAUCCGCGUCAACGGUCCUGGGAGAGGUAACAGUGUUUACCUGAGGGGGAACCAGGCGUAUAAUGUAACGGUUCCUGCCAUAUUAGAUCAUUGCAAAGCAGGCGCCGUCGCUCUGUGCUCCGCUCAGAUGUACAUCACUCUACUAUAUCUUUUAAAAGUACUCUAGACACUGAAAUGACACUCGCUAAAGACCAUUUCAUCCUCAACUGUACGAGGAAAUACAACUGGAUUAGUGACGGAUUAGAGGCUUUCUCUUUUAUAUGAGGUUAUCAGUUGGGAAGGUCACGUCCUCUGUAGGUUUCUCAGGGGCUUUGUGGAACCAGCACUUGUAAACAAUUAGCUCGAGCAGAAGGAAUUCUUGAAAUGACCACAGACAUUGUUAGGGAAAUUAGGAAAUGGCCUUUCCCCGUCCUGUGUACGAGCAUGGACGACCCUUGUUGCUAACUUGCUAAAAUAGUAUUGAGUGGAUCUUUGUUGGUUUCCCAUUUACAGACCCUGCGCAAUGGGUUGGAAUAGUCACUCCACUUUAAAAUAUGAACUAGAGGUAAUUUGCUGAACCAAAUUAUGUUGUCUUCCUUCGGAGGACAGUGUCAUUCUUUCGGGUUGGUUUCCUGAAUAAUUCUUUAGCUUACUUAUCUUACUCUUCUUUUGAAAGUAAGUUAUUAUAUGCAGUAAAGGAAGCAAAUUAUCGCUCACCACCUGUAAAGGGCCUACAGUUGACCUUCCCUUUUCAGCCAAAAUGUACAUCUGGAAAUAACCCCCCCCUCCCCCCUUCCCCGAGGGCAACAUGAGAAGAUUGAUACCUCAAACCUGUACAGUUGAUAUGAGACAGCAGCCACCAUUUAAAAUAGUUUAGUUUCGCUUUGCAUCAAAAUUGAAACAUAAUCUCACUAACUGCACAUUUUAAGCAAUUUAAUUUAACAUGUUAGAUCCAGUUUGUUUCAUUCCCACAGAAAGUUGUCUUUUUAACAUUCUUUAAUUGCUAACCUCAACCUUGUCUAAGUAGUCAUUUGCAUAUAUCUUUGAAAUGGACGUUGCUAUCAGGACACGGUGUGGAAUGGCUUUAAUAGACAAUGUUCACAAAGUCUGAUUUUGAAUGUGUAACCGGGGUAUUGUUGCUAUGGUUACCUGCAGGGCUUUUUCCGUUCUCUCAUUUAGGAUGGCGUUAAAAUGAGUGAUUGUUCAAAUGUGAGCGUGGACGUUCAUAUUCUAUCUUUUAGAACAGCACAGUAUGUGAAAUAAAAAAAUCUAAAUCUAGAUAAUUAGAAACUUUUAACGACAACUCAUUGUCAUCUUCAGCAAGUGGACCCGUCCACUUGUCUCACACUGUCGUUCUUGACACCUGGCAAAUUACGAACAAAACAAGUAUGCUCUUCUCACAGCUUCAGGUAAAUCAAACAGAAUAAGAUCCUCCCAUUUGUGUCGUCAGCUCAUCAUCUGUAAAAAAACGUACGAGCUUUGGUUUGACUUUGCACUUUAAAAUUCAAACAAUAAUAAACAUAUUAUAUCCACUUGUUUCAAUUGGUUGCUAGUUAUUAAAAUAAUCGUUAUUUUACUACGUAGAUAUCUUCAAUCAUUUUUAUGCCUUUUAUGCUCAGCUUUAUUCUAAUGUAAAAAACAGUACUUUACCGUUUUUGAAAGCUUGUUGUACGUCGCUUGAAGUAAAACCACUUCCAUCGAAGGAAGAAUUAAUAAAUAUAUAAUUGAAAGCCUCUGCAAACAACCAAGCAGGUGGAAAAAACACCUGAACGUCUAGAGGCUAGAGGCAUGGUGUGAGACAAAGAUCUACACACUGACUCGUUAGUGAAGUGUGCUAGACAGUGAAUACUGACAACGUUGUUGUAUUGAUCUCAUGUAUUGAUCUCUUCCACUAACCUUUUGCAAAAAAAAAAACAUUUUCCCAAAACAUCCUCAUAAUUCUUUGAGAAGAAACGACAAUAAGUGAAAAGUGGAAAAAUUAAAUAAACCCGUCAUUUAAAAAUAAAAGCAAAAUUGAAGAUUUAUCUAUUUAGAAAUCCCCAGUGAGAUCACCACCUUCCCUCCAACUCGACAUCAGUCACAUCUUGUGGCUUGGUGAGACCCAAAUGAAGCAGAGGCGCUGUUUGUUCCCGUGUUUUUACUGGAAGAAGUGCGGGACGCCAAAAUCUGUCUAGUCAAGUGAGCCGAGCCAUUGGGAGGCUGUUUGGGGUUGACUGCCCCCACUUCCUCUUGGUAAUGGAAAAAGCCACACUGGGAGUCGAGAUAAAGAAUGGGAAGCAGAAUUCACACACUGCGUCUCAAUUCCCUUCGGGUUUGGGCCCCAGCGUGCACGAGGCACAUUUUGGUCCAUGCAAACCUAUUUAUUCUCAGAGAGUGUAUUCAUUUGAUUCAUAAUACUUUUUAAAGAGUGUCGGUUUUGAUCUUUCAGCCAAUCAUCAUUAACUGCACGCUCUCUCCGCGCGCCACUCGUCUGCAAAGCGAGCUGAUUGAGGCGUCUUAAUGCCGCCGCGGUUUCCCACGAACGAGAAAGACGAUGGGCUUCAAUCUUCCACGCGCCGCCAAGAGAGGGACGGAGGGAACCGGGUUCCUCCGGGAGUUCGAUGCAUUGUUCCAGUCAAUAUAUCGAUGCAUGUUUGAGACUGAUCCAAGGGUAAAAUCCCCCCGGGACAGAGGUAAGAAGAGCAGCGGAGACAGGGGUGUUUGUGUUCGUUUGUCCUCUACUCGGUGAGACGUGUACGUGCUUCCUGCCACCCGCUCAUGAAUAAUGAAUGCUCACACAGGCCACGCCGACCUCUCUGAGAUUACGUCAGGCGAUGGAUUUGUUUGAGAAGCACUUGACCUUGCCUUUCGCCGUGUCAUUGGCGUUUGUGCGAGGUGGCCGCGUCACAGGCAGGCGCCAGCGGAAAAAGUUAGCUGCCACGAAAAUGCCUCCUCGGAGCUUUUGGCAGCCGGGACUUGUUUGUCCUGCAGUUCAAACAGUUAUUCAAUUAUGCGAUUUCUGCCCGGUGUUUGAUUUCAGCCAAGCGUCCCCAUCUGUUUACAGUAAUUUACCUGAAGAUGUCUUAUUAUAUAUGAAAAGGCUCUUCACUGAACGUGUUGUUUAUCUAAUUUACUAUAAUAAGAUUGCAGCUCAUUCAAAUGAAUUGACCGCCUUUUUCCUCCAACUUUCUCCCCAUUACUGUAACUUUUAAUGAAGCCUGAUGUUCAUGCAGAGGUACGUGUACAGAAGGCAUAAACAGUUGCUACGGUGCGUCAGUGUUCUCUCUGGUCCUCCACCCUCAAGAAAUAGAAACAUUCUGCGCGAGGACUGAUUUGCAUGUGGAUCCCGUAUCAACAGCCGCACACUAAGCUGCAUGUAAGACAUCGUGAGAAUGCUGUUGUUUCAAAUCACCUGUGAAGGGAUGAAGGAAGCAGACAGCGUGCCAACAAAUGCCCUUGAGCAAAGCAUUUAAAAGCUCUUGAUGAAGAUUUGACCUCGAGGUUGACCUUUACUCUUUUAUUUUACGCAGGUUUCACACUCUCUGAAGGCCCCUCAUCUCCACAUCCCCAAGCACUGAAAUUAUGAUGGACGUAUGAAGAUUUGAAGAAAAACAACCUUUUGCAGGCCCAGAGGCCCUUGCUGUAUAAUAUUUUUGUAUAAUAGGAUAUAAUAUUUCUCAGAUGAAAAUAUUACUAUGGGUAUGCCAACUAUCCAGACUGUGAAGUCUGGCAUUCCAGCACGUAGCCUGAUUCCGUAGGAUCAUUUAUAGUAAUACAUCCUCAAAUGACUCGCAAAGGAAGAUUAAAAAAAGAGCUUUUGGAUCUUUUUUUCCUAUUUUCUUACAUCUCUUUAAUCUAACUCCUGAUAAUGAUCCCCUACCCGUCUCCCUUCGUUGGUAAGCCCUUAAAAUGGAGAUUUUAUUUUUAUUAUUAAAUGAGCUCAUCUCUGUGAGAUCUGAACACUCAUGGAGGCUGAACUAUUUCAGCCUCCAUGAGUUCAGUGUUGCAUUUAGCACUGCAUUUAAGAAUAUAUAUAUAUAUAUAUAUAUAUAUAUAUAUAUAUAUAUGAGGGGUUUUAAAUGAGAUUCCUCCUUAUGGGGACUGUCCAGAUAGUCUUUAGCGUAUUCUCAAUAACAAUCUGGGCAAUUAGUAAUUAGUCAGUAUAUAAUUUCAAACUUGUUCAGGGCCUCAGACUGCAAAUACUGUAUAUGUGAAGACCUACAGGCAGAAUUGGGGCCGGGUCUCUAUUGAUGUACAUUCAACUAGUAGGUCACUUAGAUGAGUUUGUUCAGAUUGAUCAAAAAAGUACCAACUUGCAUUCCGCAAAAUAGCAUUUUAUGAAAAAGACUGUUGGUGCACAUGGCAUGUCAAACACAAACAUAGGUGUACAACAGUAGGCACGUAACCCUAACCCCUAAUGACAUGACCUCACAUUCAUUGAGACUUGAAAAAUACAGAAAAACUGAAUUUCAUUAGCUCGUGUUACCCUUGUGUGAUUGCGUUCUCCUUUAUUGCACAAGGAUUGCAGGUGUUCACUUUGCCGACAGGUGGGAAUCCAGAAUAAGCUUGAGUGGUUUAACUGAGGUACAUGGAAAGUGUAAGAAAAGUAUGAAACAAAAAGGUGAAAUCUGAGUAAAUGUGGUGGUGCAGUCGCUCCAAUCCACCAAGGGCUCGAAUGGAUACGAUGUGCAGUGUGGCUUGAAGUUGGGGCACGUUCAAGUUGAAGUUGCUCAGCGUGCAGAUCAAUACGUCCCAUUCCCUGAUAUCAUAGUUUGGAAGCACAACAGAAAAUGCUCCCGAUGUGAUUUUCAUCCAAACUGCAUGAAUGUCAACUCUGCUGCUGGCGAGGCCGCCCCUCAUCUGGAUUUGAUGGCCAAAUCAAUAUACAUUUAGUGGGCCGUGUCACCCCCGUAAAUGAAUCAUACAUGCAAUCCCUUAAGGAAUGUUUAUGUCCGUCAUAUGCGGGUUGCUUCAAACUGUGAUUUUUGAUCUCCUUAUUGUGGUCAAUCCAGCAAAAACCACAACCGACCAUGUCUCCUAGUAAUUAUGUUUUUUACCACCAAAUGGUUUUCCGAAUUAUGCUGUCCAGACAAAUGUAAUUACGGCCUGAAUUACACUCAAUUUACCAGAACAGCACUGUGGGUUGCCGGUGCUUAGGUUAUGGCAUCCAAAGCAUAAUAUUUGGGAAAUAUUCUUUGAAAUAUUGAUCACAUUGUGUGUUUGUGAUUCCAGUUAAUGUGGACUUCUUCUCAUGAACCGAGACUGUGAUCGUUCUCCAAUCUUAACCAAAGACCUUCCAGUGCCUCGACAUUUCCAUGAAAAAAGCUGAAUGAUGCUGUUUUCAUUGCAAAUAGAAAACAUAACAUCAAGAUUGGUAUUUCAGUACAUAAUAAUAAUAAUAAUAAUAAUAAUACAACUCAUGUAUUUACAGUAUGCCUAAGAAUAAAACAUUUUGCAAAAUUUAAUUCCACCAUAUCUUUUAGUAAUUUGGCAAAAUAAAUGCACAUUUUGUUAGUUGCCCUGUACGUCAUGGCCCAACAUGUCGUUUAAAUUUCUCCAACCAAUCGUUUCAGCAGAUCUCCACCGUGGUUGAUGCUUUUUUGUUUUUUUAUCAUCCGCAGAAGUGUUGGUUGGAAAUGACAACCUGCGCGCUCGUCCCUCGACGCGUCCCGCUUUGAGAGGCUUUGCCUCUCCGACGCUUCCCCAGCCGCCACGUGAAAUCAGAGAGCAGCAGCGUUCAAAGGAAAGGCCGCACCCCCCCCCCCCCCCGUCGAAACAAUCCACAUGACGCAACACUGGAAGUCAGGUUGGUGUUAGCUGGACAUGUAUUAUUCAUAGGCAGAGCAAGUGGAGGGGAGACAACCGUAAAUCUAUUUUUACUCUUUUACUCAUAGGGGAUGAGGAAUACCCCAAUGUCUGUCAAACAAACAGAGAAACUCUCUCUCUCAGUCCCAGGAUGCAUGAGCACAUUGACCCGUAUGCCAAAACACCCGAGGGGCUUGUUUCUGUGUUCUACUCUGCAGCUCGAGGAUCACUGGAUCUUGACAACACAACAAAGAAAAAGCUGUGAAUUUUGUCUCACGCGGCGUUUAUUACGUUUGAUCACGGUACUUGAAGUGCAGCAUUAUUUCAUUAGAGGCACUUUUUUAAGCAAUGAAAGGGCCCAGAUGUUGAUGGUGAAAAUCACUUCAACGCCAACGCGUUGUUGUCUGAGCCCUAAUUAUGUAGCAACGAAGCGUCUAGUUUGGUUCUUGUUACAAUUGUGCUCUUCAGACAGAGUUCCACUGUGAAUCGUGGUGGAGAAACCAGCAGUUUCUUUCCUAACCCCAAAUUUACUUGGCAGAACAGGCCUCUUGUGGCCGAGGGGCGAUUUAUUUAUCUUUUUCCUCCAUUAGUCGAGUCUGUCGCUAGACUGUUUGUCUUGGAUGUAUGUGCGUCGCUACGGGAUGGAGGACCCGAAUGUAGACCCUGAGGCAACGGAGGGAGAAUAAAAUGGACUUUUUCUAAAUCAGCGAUGAAAUGAACAGGCCGACAGUCAAGAAUCCACAGGGGCGAGUAAGGUGGGCAGGUGAUAAAUAGACAGCAGGUCAGAACACAAGGAGCCGUGUCAGGUGGAAAACCAGGCGCAGAGGUGCAGUGCAAAUGCUUAAAAAAAAAAAAAAGGGGGGAACUGGUGAGCUGGUUGCAGACGCUGAAGACCUGUGGAGAGAAUGCAAGACGCGUCCGGAUGAGGAUGUUGUGGGAGUCAGGUGAGCGGAAUUGGGGGGGGCGGAAUCUGGUCUACCGGUGGAAAAUAAAUCUGGAAAUUUCUCCAGAAGUGGGACGUGAGGGAAGUUAGAAGAGGCUGGACUGAAGCAAAAUAUACAUUUCUGUCAUGUGGCUACUUGUUGACUGUAUGUAGGAGCCCGCCUCCACUGAUUACUCAUUACGAGUCACUCUGUGUAAGAGCAUCUGUUUUAAUGGCGCCGUUGAAAAGCCGGAUCUGGACUUUAAUGAAAUAGUUUACUCGAAUGUGAGUUUGUGUAAAUUACAGGCCGCUGUAACUCAAAGGGCACAGAGUGCUGGUCGUGAGUGGGCUGCAAUUUUGAAAAACCCGUGUGGCACAUGGACCACUUCCAUACGCAUUCAUUACUUUCCACUCCAACAAAAAUGAAAGCCGUGCUGCAAAUGGGACAACACGUCUUUUUGUGUGUGUGUGUGUGUGUGUGGCACUACUCCCACACGACUCCUUUCAAUCUUCAAACUAGCUGCUAGAUGCCAACAAAUCUGGCACAUUGCACCCUUUUUAAUGACAAGCGUGGAAAUGAUGUACUUCCUCUUUACUGUUGAUGGAGGUUCGCCCUCGUGCUGAGAUGUUGCUCAAAUACAGACUCCCACUCAAAAGAUAGAUCCGCUUUAUCAGCAUCAGAUUAUUUCAUUUUGCACACGUCUUCAUUGCUAACAGGCUUUUAUUAUCAGAUUGUGCAUUUACAACAACAGUAUGUAUUGUAGCCGUGCGCUUGAAGUUCUUCACUGCACCAACCAAAGUGAACCAAUCCUCUGACACAGUAUCUCACACAACAGCGUGUACAUAACAGACAGCGUUGAUUUAUCACUCUCAUUAUGCCAGGCUGAAACAACGAGCAGAGAGCAAAAUGAGAGGGUGAGAAACGCGCCUGAAAGGAAAGUUUUACAAGCGUUGGGUCAUUAAUCUCAACCUGCUCCCCACAUCUAACGUCUCUCUUUCCUGUUGAAACAUUAACACUCUUUAAUCUAGAAGAACCCAAUUAAAAGCAGCUCAUGUCCCACAAAAGUUCUCUGCCACCCAAACUCUGCACCACAGACACCAUCUCCUCCACCUCCGAAGGAAGCCUGCAGCAUGUGCUCUGCAGACCUUUUUUCAUCACGACUGGGAGGAGAAACAAGCCAAGAAAUGUGUAAAUGUUUUUAAAUGGAUCUCCUUUUC
ensembl:lncRNA